rnacentral:rRNA from 1 species
ACGAACGCUGGCGGCAUGCCUAACACAUGCCAGUCGAACGAGACCUUCGGGUCUAGUGGCGCACGGGUGCGUAACGCGUGUGAACCUGCCCUUAGGUUCGGAAUAACUCCCCGAAAGGGGUGCUAAUACCGGAUAAUGUCUUCGGACCAAAGAUUUAUCGCCUUUGGAUGGGCCCGCGUUGGAUUAGCUAGUUGGUAGGGUAAAAGCCUACCAAGGCGACGAUCCAUAGCUGGUCUGAGAGGAUGAUCAGCCACACUGGGACUGAGACACGGCCCAGACUCCUACGGGAGGCAGCAGUGGGGAAUAUUGGACAAUGGGCGAAAGCCUGAUCCAGCAAUGCCGCGUGAGUGAUGAAGGCCUUAGGGUUGUAAAGCUCUUGUACCCGGGAUGAUAAUGACAGUACCGGGAGAAUAAGCUCCGGCUAACUCCGUG